CUGGAAGUUCUGGGACUUUGGCAGAUGGUGGCUUCUGCAGAUGUAGGACAGAGAGCGAUGGGUUUAGCUCUGUGCUGGCCAAUAGAAGCCUAGCGUGAUGCAUAGAGAGAGAAAGGGGUGUCUGCACAUGCUCUUGGCUUUCUGUGAUGGCAUCAUUGUUUACUCAGGCAGUCUAACCCUGCCCCCAUUCUCUGUGAGACCCUGACUGCAUGCUGCACCUUACAGUCUUAGCUGGCAGACAGGCAUAAAAGUAUCUGCCUUCCAGGCUGUUGUAAGGAAAAGAAAAAUCGUGCAUAUAAAAGUUUUGGCCUAUAGUGAUGAUAAUAUCUAUCUGUCUUUAUUGCACACUUAAUUUCAAGCAUCUGUGUGUUCCUUCUCACAUGGAAUCAUGACGGCUCAAUGAAGGAAAAACUCAUGCUCCUCUUGUUUCGCAGACAAGAAACUGAGGUAGGGGAGAUUCAGAGCCUCCCCUAAGACUCCAGAGUCUGAGUUCUUGACACCUUUUGCCGUCAUGAAGAUUCAGGUUUUCUGGAGAAGCACUUAGAGCAAGAGUGUGGCCACGGAGUGUCGCCUGAGAAGUCCAACUGCUCCUCUUCGCAGUGCCAUGGCGGGACUGCUGUCUUCGACUGAGACAAACUGAAGUUGUAUAAGAACACAGUGGACCAAAAAGGUCCUUUAAACAGCGAAGUUCCUCUCAGAGGGGCCAGAAGCCUGUUGCAGGAGAGAUGUGUCACAGCAGAGCCCAGGCGAGGGGGGCUCCGUGCUCAGGUGCUCGGUGAGGGUAGCGCUGUUUCUGUGUGCUUGCAGUGUUUCGGCCCCUCCGUGAUGAUACACAUUUGAAUUUGAGUAAAGAAGAUAGAAGGGCUCAUGGGGUGGGCAAACGCUGCACCGGUGCCUCUAGCACUUGGCAUUCCCAGCACACUGAGAGCGUUCGGUGUCUAUUUGUCAGGACAGUGUGGCCAAGGCUGAGUGUCUGGGCUUGGCAACCUGCCUUCUGAGGUUGAAAUGGCUUCAAAAUGAGAUCAAAACAUCCGUGUCUGGGACAUUUCUGGGCUCAGAACACUGCUCCAGUUCCUACUUCCGCUCUCGGACUGCUCCCUCCCGCAGUGUCUUCUUCCCCAGGGAGUCCUGAGGGCAUUCAGGGGUCUCCCAAGGAGGCCUUGGUCUGUGCUCUGGGGACCUGCUCCAGACGGGUGGGUCAGAAGAUUCAGGCCAAGUUCAUAAAAACACAGUGAGUAUGUAGACACGGCCCGAAACCAGGUUCCUGAGGACCUUACGCCAGUUUCCUUUUGUUUUAAGCUGUUUGGGGUUCUGGCAACCAGAGAGAGAGGGAUCAUUGACACAAUAGCUGCAUGUCAGGUUGUGCUUUUAUAAGGAACACCAUGAAACUCUCUUCUGUGGCCAAGACGCAUCCUGCACUUUGUGGAUGGGCCUUGUGACCAAGUUCAAAGGCGCCUCUGAUGGAAUUCCAGGGUGGGGCAGGGCAGGGUAAGGACGGUGCGCUAUUGACCUAAGGGACACGAACUGAUGAGAAGCUUCAAGGAGCAUGGGACUGCUGGUAGCUCCUGGGCUCUCCAGGACAGGUUGGAUGGAUAAGGAAAUUUAAUUUUUCUGCUUCUGAAAAAAUAGAUUGAGCUGGGAUACAUUGGCUGUCUCCAAGGAAGGACAGCAUGCUCACCCAGGAUUUUAGCCCGGGCCUGUCUGGUUUCAGAGCUGCACUGGUCCCCUUAAGAUAUAAAAGAGAUGCAAGGAGAGUUGCAUGUGACCGUAACCCAACGCUCUGUCCUGCUUAGGAUCUGGUCAAGUGGGAUCAGCAAUCAAGUGGGCAAGAUGGGCUGGGAUGUACUGGUUCUCCUCCUUCCCGCCUUGGGUGUUGCACAGUCUUUACUGGUGUUCCUGCAUUUCCAAGCCAACAGGGACUUCCUAGCCACUAGAGGGGCAAAGAAGCCAUCUGUUCCAUGCUCAGGUGGCAGGGCCAGGGGCUCAUACUCUCCAGCCCCGUGUUGGUUAGUGAGGGAGAAAAGGGGUGAGUGGUUUCCCUCCUUGCCCUGUGCUCCUCGACUGCAGCAGCUGAUGCAGAUUCAGAUAAGCAUCUGUGCUUUGGGAAGCUGAUUCCUACUGAAUCCAGUCCCUGCCCCGUCUGAGGUCCA